rnacentral:rRNA from 1 species
AUUGAACGCUGGCGGAAUGCUUUACACAUGCAAGUCGAAACGGUAGAGGGGGCAACCCCUCGAGAGUGGCGAACGGGUGAGUAAUAUAUCGGAACGUACCUUAUCGUGGGGGAUAACGCAGCGAAAGCUGCGCUAAUACCGCAUACGCCCUACGGGGGAAAGCAGGGGACCUUCGGGCCUUGCGCGAUUGAAUAUGCCCAGGUGGGAUUAGCUAGUUGGUGAGGUAAUGGCUCACCAAGGCGACGAUCCCUAGCUGGUCUGAGAGGAUGAUCAGCCACACUGGAACUGAGACACGGUCCAGACUCCUACGGGAGGCAGCAGUGGGGAAUAUUGCACAAUGGGGGAAACCCCUGAUGCAGCCAUGCCGGCGUGUGUGAAGAAGGCCUUCGGGUUGUAAAGCACUUUCAGCGAGGAGGAAAGGUCAGUAGCUAAUACCUGCUGGCUGUGACGUUACUCGCAGAAGAAGCACCGGCUAACUCCGUG